UUUUUUUUUUUUCAGUCGGUAAGAAUGUACUUUUUGUCUCCACUUUUUUGUCAUUGUUAGUGUUUUCGAGGUGUCAAAUUUGUUCUUCGAGUACGGUAUUUCGAAUAUUUUAGAAAUAAAGAAGUUAUAGUUUAGACUUUAGAUAGGAGGUUGUGGAGGACUUAGAUUAGGAUAGAAGGUUAGGAGGUAGUCUCACUUACUUGUAGUUUGCUCAUUCGUUUAUUGCCAUAUGAUUUUUGCUUAUAUUGUUGGGUCUUGUAAUUCAAGUAUCUUAUUUAUUUAUAAUAGCUAGUGUUGA